UCCAACUGAAACCAACACCUACGCCACUUCUCGCGCGGUUGCUGACAAACUUAGCAGUUCAUUACGCACCGUUACAGAUCGGUGUACACGCCAACAUUUGUGCCAUAGCAACAAAUCAAGGCAUGUCUCGUGCCUCGUGAGUCGAUUUUCCCGCCACUCCGCCGGGCAAGCAAGCAAAGCAAAUCUGGUUUCAAUCCUUGGAGCGACAAAAGACCACAGGAUGAUGAGUUUCUCUCGGUGUGGGAUCCGUAUACGUAUAGGAAGGAAAGUGUGCGAUCAAUAUUCUAUUUAAGCAACAGAUUGUAUAACAUAUGUAUCAGUUCGGAGUUCCACACAUAACGGGAAAAAUUUUCCACGCGGAAGCAGGAUUUGCAGUGUCCUCGAAAACAGCUCGCCAUCAUAUUCACGGUAAAGCCUGAACACCAACUAAACACACCCACCACCUACACACACAUACACGAGUUCGGUCAACAUGUUGGGUGCACCUUUAACCACAUACGCCCAACUAUAAGGUAAACUUUGAACAAAGUGGUAAGUUUCACUAGUUGUUGUUUUUUUAUCAGCUCCGCUUUCUAGAAUCGAGUGAUACCUACCUGUUGGUCGGGGUUAACUGUCUGUCAAUGAGAUGCUCUAUGUGCUUAUUAAAAAAAUGAAAUAUUUUCCUGUUUUUUUCCUUCACUAAAGAUUAGGAUGCCAAACCGAUUUUCUAAGCUCAUUGGAGGAGUUCUUAAAAGACCAUAAGACUACCGGUGGGAUAUUAGAGAGAAAAAAAAAACAGUUUAUGAAAUCUUUUUAAAACUUAACCGAGAUUACAGAUAGGAGAUCCAUUUAUCUUGAAGUCAUUCAUUUAAAAAAAAAGUUCUUAAAGUUUUUCGUUUUUCCGGAGUCCACGUAAGUGUGUAGUAGGUAUGUGACACGAGAGCACGACAUGAACCAACCGCUACUGAAGCAUAACGGAACAGGAUAUCGCCAUCUGGACGAGGUACUUUUAGUCAGCAAAUUGUUUACCAGCGUUAGGAUGGAAAUUGGUGAUGGGUGAUAAAAUAAAAUCGAUUUCUGAAAUUUUUGGGAAUAA